GUGCACCAGGCGCGAAUACUCCGCAAUGCUCGAAAGAGUGACGGGGGAUUCCAAGUGCCUACGCUCAGCGUAGGCUGUUCAGAUGCCUAAAAAGCAUCUGGAGUAAGGGCUGGGUAAGACGGGUGCCAGCCGCCGCGGUAAUACCCGCAGCUCGAGUGGUAGUCGAUUUUAGUUGGGCCUAAAGCGUCCGUAUCCGGUCUGGUAAAUGCUUGGGUAAAUCGUGGGGCUCAACCCUACGAAUUCCGGGUAGACUGCCAGACUUGGGACCGGUUGAGGAAGAGGGUACUUCAGGGGUAGGAGUGAAAAUCCUGUAAUCCUUGAAGGACCACCAGUGGCGAAGGCGCUCUUCUAGGACGGGUCCGACGGUGAGGGACGAAAGCCAGGGGAGCAAAACCGGGAUUAGAUACCCGCGUAGU
rnacentral:rRNA from 1 species